AACGGGUUUCCACCAUAAAAUCAACCAAAGAGCUAUCUGUAUCCCAUAGACGACUGCAUUAAUUGUGUAGAAACUCGGUCUAAGCCCAUCAGUCGAUACUGCACGCGCCUGAUAAUAUAUCUCCGCCCAAAACAACACGAGCAAUGCAUACGUCGUGAAGAACAGAAGCCCGGGCAUAUCAAGCAGAACAUAUUGAAGGAUCUCAGGUCUUAUCCUCUGCACACCCCGUCGAAACACAAACACAAGCGAUCGCACGGCGUUCACCACGAAAUUUAAGAAGUGGAAGACCUUCUGCGUCGUCCAGCCAUACUCCGGAACUCUGCACUCUAUUCUCACCAGUUGGAUGACGGCGACGGCGCUGACGAAGCCGAAGAGGCCGGCGAGGGUGUGGAAGAUGCGGUCCUGCCAGACGGCGGAGUUGUUCGCCUCCUCCCACCAAUCGAAGGCGUUCUGCAGCGCGAGGGUGGCGGCCGAUGAGGAGGCCAUCGGAGACUGGUCGGG
rnacentral:misc_RNA from 1 species